rnacentral:lncRNA from 1 species
UGGUAAACUCAACCCCACAUUUGCCUCCAUUUUUAAUUUUUCACCGCCAACUUGCCUACUUGCCUUUUUGUGACCCUGGAUCAACAAUAAUGGUGCUUAUUCCCUUGGUUGAGAAGAUACUUUUAUUUCCGAGAGAUCUUGGAUUGUUCUUGUAACUCGCCAUUGCAAACCGACCACCUUUGACUAGCUUUUAUUUCAAAACAACAACCAUAUUAGAAUAAACACCCUUUUCUUUUCUUUUUUUUUCCUUUUUUUUCUUGUUUCUUUUCUCUCUCUUUUUUUUUCUCUUUUUCAUUUUCCCCUUUUUUAAACCAUUCGAUCGAACCUGAUGUGGGUUGCCUACGUAUCAUAUGGGAACAUCAAUCAGAUCUUGCGUAGUUUGGGAAGAUUAGAAACAAAGUAAAUAAACUAAGUCUUUUUGGAUUUUGAAAUUUGUUUUUUUCGAAAGAAAUACUUACAAAGAAGAAAGAAAAUAUUUUUUGGAUUUCGAUUUAUUUUUUUUUAAGAUUUUUUUUGAAAAUAAAGAAGUCUAAAGAAGAGGAAAAAAAUAUUUUCUUGAAUUUUAACUUCUUUUUCUUUUUUUCUGGAAAUUUCGAAAGAAAACCUUCUAAAUAAGAAAGGAAAUUGGACUUUUACUUUUAUUUAUGAAAGGAAUGCUUCUUAAAAAAAGAAAAUAUUUUUGAAUUUUGAAUUUUCAUUUCAAUUUUGAAAGAAGAAUGAAAAUAUUUUUGGAUAUUUGGGAGAAAUUAAAAGAAAAUAUUUUUGUAUAUUUUUUUUAAAAAUUAUUAGUGUCUAAAAGAAAGGCUUUCUAAAGAAGCAAGUAAUGGAAAAUAUUUUUUUGAUUUUUUGAAAAUUGGGGUCUCAAAAUAAAAGACUUUUNNNNNNNNNNNNNNNNNNNNNNNNNNNNNNNNNNNNNNNNNNNNNNNNNNNNNNNNNNNNNNNNNNNNNNNNNNNNNNNNNNNNNNNNNNNNNNNNNNNNNNNNNNNNNNNNNNNNNNNNNNNNNUUCGUUCCCUAUUCUAGAAGCCAGUCAACAUGCAAGCCGAAACAGACAGAUACGCAAGUACCACAUAAGAUGCAUCAAAAUGGUCUUUUGAUUUUUGGGUACACCUGUCCUAGACAAACCCAACCUCUGUGUUGAGUCUCCAAAGUCAAAUGCACAUGAUGCAAACAAACGUUCCUACUAGGGAUCCGACAUGAGGUUGAGUUAUUCUAGGUUUAAAACAUGGGUGUAUUAUUCUAGACCUAGCUUACCCGAGCGGACAACUCGAGCCGAGGAGAGGUUGCAUACCGGUAACCAAAAGAUUAUCCGGCUAUGCAACUUGUCCGAACCUCGUUGUAUUUGGGAUAUGACACUAACAGAAAGAAGUCACGACCAGCGUGCACUCCUCAGGAGAGAGAAGAGAGGGGUUUCAUAGCAGUUUAUAUACAAUUCAGAUAAUAUCAAAGCGGUAAAGCAACAUUUAGCACAUUAGGCCCAAACAUGUAAUAAAAUCAGAUAAUAAAUAAAGCCAAAUAUAACAAUUCAUCUAAGCUCGAAUUCUGAAUCCUGAACCAGAGAUUCUGGGUUCAUUCCCCAGUAGAGUCGCCAGAGCUGUCACACCUCCUUUUUACCUAUACCCGGAAGGGUGUAAGGGAGUUUUUCCAAUUAAAGUGACAAUUGAAACGGGAUUAUUUCAUUUAAAAAUUCAGAGUCGCCACUUGGGAUAAUUUAUGGUGUCCCAAGUAACCUAUUUAGAAUCCCGAAUCGAGGAAAGAUUGACUCUGUUUUUCAGUCCGUGAACAUAGAAAUCCGGGUAAGGAAUUCUGUUAACCCGGGAGAAGGUGUUAGGCAUUCCCGAGUUCCGUGGUUUUAGCAAGUCCGCUCAACUGUUAUUAUUGGCCUAAUUAUCUGAUUUUAAAAACACUUUUAAACCUACGGUGCAAUUUUAACUUAUUAACCGCUUUUAAUUAAUUUUAGGAAAUUCAACGUUAUCUAAAAGACGUCUUGAACCACGCCACACGAAAUGCAUCCCCGGUCCGCGACAUAUUUUAUGUAACAUUGUUGAGAUUUGGAUUUGGGUCACAUAAAUGCACACCCGAGUUUAGGAAAGUAAUUUUUAAAUAGCACGCCUAUAGCAACUACACUCUUUCUACUUUGUGAGGGCCAUGAAAAUUCAACUAAAUGGCACGCCUCGAUUUCUAGGGAUUAAAAAUUAAUACAAUGAGGGCCAUGCAUUUGAGAUUUUUGUUCGGCACGACACACCUCAAAUUAUUUCAAAGGGGUUUUAUUAUCCGAAAUUGUUAUGAUCAGGUCACAUGAAAUGCAUCCCCGAAUUUGGAAAUUAUAAAUCACAUCUACGUCAUGGGAACCAUACCCGUAGCCAUGAUAAUUUAAUUAUGUGCCUAAAGCAAACUACGAUGAUUUGUGAUUAUUUUUCCUACAAAUAGAUUAACCUUUCAUUCAAACAAGAUCCAAUUUCAAACUUAAUGUCUUCAACAUAAUUGGCAUGAACUUAAAUAAUCAGAAUACUCCAAGUUUAAUCACGGUUCACUCAAAAUGCAAAAUUAACAUCACAUGGAUUAACUUUUUUUUGUCAAUCUGAGAACAUAAAACUUAAACCCAAUAGCAUAGACCAAAACGAUAUGUGAUGCUGCCAACCAUAUUUCUGAGCUGUAUAUCAUAUGCUUAUUUGGCUCACUUUUCUUUGCUAUAAAAAUACACUAAUUACAGCACUAUCUUUUCCAGUUCAGCCACAUCAAUUUUUUUGCCAAUUCAAUCAGUUUAUUUUGAUGGCCCUCCAAAUACCUCUACUGCCUUAUAGGAAAGGAAAACAAUUUUUUUAUGAUUCAUGGAAAUCAGUGUGAAGUACAUCUGAUACGUUCUAUUAUAAAUUUCACAUCGCUAUUGCAAAUUAAACACAAUUUCAACCCAAGGUCUCCAUGAAUCAGAUUCUAUAACAAAUAAAUCAAUUAACAGAUCUCAACUUAGAGAGGCGUGAGUGGACCUUUGAUGUUUAACUCGACCAAACAAAAGCCUUCAAUCAGAGAUGGAAACUUAAUCAGCAGAACAAAACGAUAAUAGGACAACGCCGCCGAUCACAAACGGAACUUCGAACAGAAUCUCGCAUUCAUAACAUUGCGAUAACAUUGUAAUAGAACCAGAAUAAAAUGAAAGAAGUAAUCUUACCACCAAAAAUGGAAACCUCGAACCAGACCAGAAAACACGCCGGAACCGCGACAAAACUCCACAACGGGCCUUGUCGGAACCACGGAUAGAACCUUGUCGUGAACUCAACACGACUCAAACUCUGAACUCGCCGUAUUUCAGGGUUUUAAAUUGACAAUCAGAAGAAGAAACUAACAUUUGAAACAAAAUCAAAGGUUUUGAAUCCGAAGUCCGUCCUCCGUUUUUGCCGUUCGUCCCUUCACCACAAAAUCCCCAAGUUUCUUUUGAUAUGUCACUAUGUGUUUAUAUGAAGAAUCCCCAAUUGAAUAAAGUGUGUUUUGUUUGAGAAGAAAAUUUCAAAUGUAUGGCUGCCGUGAUAUUUGAAGAAGGAGGUGCCUUCUUUAUCCCUAAGUCAUCUUUUUGGUCUUUUCUUGGCAUUUUAACUGAUGAAUUUUUGGGAGUCGACCAUGGGAACGACGGAUUCCAUUUUUGCAGAGUGUUUUUU